AUUGAACGCUGGCGGCAGGCCUAACACAUGCAAGUCGAGCGGAUGAAGGGAGCUUGCUCCUGGAUUCAGCGGCGGACGGGUGAGUAAUGCCUAGGAAUCUGCCUGGUAGUGGGGGAUAACGUCCGGAAACGGGCGCUAAUACCGCAUACGUCCUGAGGGAGAAAGUGGGGGAUCUUCGGACCUCACGCUAUCAGAUGAGCCUAGGUCGGAUUAGCUAGUUGGUGGGGUAAAGGCCUACCAAGGCGACGAUCCGUAACUGGUCUGAGAGGAUGAUCAGUCACACUGGAACUGAGACACGGUCCAGACUCCUACGGGAGGCAGCAGGGGGGAAUAUUGGACAAUGGGCGAAAGCCUGAUCCAGCCAUGCCGCGUGUGUGAAGAAGGGCUUCGGAUUGUAAAGCACUUUAAGUUGGGAGGAAGGGCAGUAAGUUAAUACCUUGCUGUUUUGACGUUACCAACAGAAUAAGCACCGGCUAACUUCGUGC
rnacentral:rRNA from 1 species